CAGCAGCCGCGGUAAUACGUAGGUGGCAAGCGUUGUCCGGAAUUAUUGGGCGUAAAGGGCUCGCAGGCGGUUUCUUAAGUCUGAUGUGAAAGCCCCCGGCUCAACCGGGGAGGGUCAUUGGAAACUGGGAAACUUGAGUGCAGAAGAGGAGAGUGGAAUUCCACGUGUAGCGGUGAAAUGCGUAGAGAUGUGGAGGAACACCAGUGGCGAAGGCGACUCUCUGGUCUGUAACUGACGCUGAGGAGCGAAAGCGUGGGGAGCGAACAGGAUUAGAUACCCCCGUAGUCCCUGUCUCUUAUCC
rnacentral:rRNA from 1 species